rnacentral:rRNA from 3 species
CUGGAGGUAUCAGAAGUGCGAAUGCUGACAUAAGUAACGAUAAAGCGGGUGAAAAGCCCGCUCGCCGGAAGACCAAGGGUUCCUGUCCAACGUUAAUCGGGGCAGGGUGAGUCGACCCCUAAGGCGAGGCCGAAAGGCGUAGUCGAUGGGAAACGGGUUAAUAUUCCCGUACUUGGUGUUACUGCGAAGGGGGGACGGAGAAGGCUAUGUUGGCCGGGCGACGGUUGUCCCGGUUUAAGCGUGUAGGUGUGUGUUCCAGGUAAAUCCGGUUCACUUUAACACUGAGGCGUGACGACGAGGCACUACGGUGCUGAAGCAACAAAUGCCCUGCUUCCAGGAAAAGCCUCUAAGCAUCAGGUAACAUCAAAUCGUACCCCAAACCGACACAGGUGGUCAGGUAGAGAAUACCAAGGCGCUUGAGAGAACUCGGGUGAAGGAACUAGGCAAAAUGGUGCCGUAACUUCGGGAGAAGGCACGCUGACACGUAGGUGAAGUGAUUUACUCAUGGAGCUGAAGUCAGUCGAAGAUACCAGCUGGCUGCAACUGUUUAUUAAAAACACAGCACUGUGCAAACACGAAAGUGGACGUAUACGGUGUGACGCCUGCCCGGUGCCGGAAGGUUAAUUGAUGGGGUCAGCGCAAGCGAAGCUCCUGAUCGAAGCCCCGGUAAACGGCGGCCGUAACUAUAACGGUCCUAAGGUAGCGAAAUUCCUUGUCGGGUAAGUUCCGACCUGCACGAAUGGCGUAAUGAUGGCCAGGCUGUCUCCACCCGAGACUCAGUGAAAUUGAACUCGCUGUGAAGAUGCAGUGUACCCGCGGCAAGACGGAAAGACCCCGUGAACCUUUACUAUAGCUUGACACUGAACAUUGAGCCUUGAUGUGUAGGAUAGGUGGGAGGCUUUGAAGUGUGGACGCCAGUCUGCAUGGAGCCGACCUUGAAAUACCACCCUUUAAUGUUUGAUGUUCUAACGUGGACCCGUAAUCCGGGUUGCGGACAGUGUCUGGUGGGUAGUUUGACUGGGGCGGUCUCCUCCUAAAGAGUAACGGAGGAGCACGAAGGUUGGCUAAUCCUGGUCGGACAUCAGGAGGUUAGUGCAAUGGCAUAAGCCAGCUUGACUGCGAGCGUGACGGCGCGAGCAGGUGCGAAAGCAGGUCAUAGUGAUCCGGUGGUUCUGAAUGGAAGGGCCAUCGCUCAACGGAUAAAAGGUACUCCGGGGAUAACAGGCUGAUACCGCCCAAGAGUUCAUAUCGACGGCGGUGUUUGGCACCUCGAUGUCGGCUCAUCACAUCCUGGGGCUGAAGUAGGUCCCAAGGGUAUGGCUGUUCGCCAUUUAAAGUGGUACGCGAGCUGGGUUUAGAACGUCGUGAGACAGUUCGGUCCCUAUCUGCCGUGGGCGCUGGAGAACUGAGGGGGGCUGCUCCUAGUACGAGAGGACCGGAGUGGACGCAUCACUGGUGUUCGGGUUGUCAUGCCAAUGGCACUGCCCGGUAGCUAAAUGCGGAAGAGAUAAGUGCUGAAAGCAUCUAAGCACGAAACUUGCCCCGAGAUGAGUUCUCCCUGAGACUUAGAGUCUCCUGAAGGAACGUUGAAGACGACGACGUUGAUAGGCCGGGUGUGUAAGCGCAGCGAUGCGUUGAGCUAACCGGUACUAAUGAACCGUGAGGCUUAACCUUACAACGCCGAAG